UCCCUCCGUUUAUCUUUCUUCUCUCUCGGACUCUCUCUCUCCGUUUAUCUCCUGCGAUUGUCGGCGACGGAGUCCCCAAAAUCUCUGUUCAUCGCUGGCUGAGACCGAAUCUGCUAUUCCAACUGUUGUCAUGAUUUCUGAGAUUCUAAAACGCAAUGGACUGGCAAUUCAAAAGAAUUGAGACUCUGCUUGGGCAAGCUGAUAAGCUGAAGGAGAGCUCGGCUGUUACUGCAACAUCAAACUAAGAAGAAUGCUGAUUUACUAGCUUCAGAUUUUUAGCAGAAACCAACAGGAGUUAUAAUUCUGGGAUCAAAAAGUUUCUGAUUUUCUGUUUCCUUGUAAAAUUUGAAUGCGAAUUGGAGAUGCUAUUAGUAGUAUAGUCAAGUGAAUUAGACUAGAGUAGACAUUCUGAUAGAACAAAUGUCCUUCUUAGUGCUGCCAUUUCUGUUCUGAUCGGAGUAGACAUUCUGGGAUCAAAGUUUCUGAAGUCUGUUUCUGCCAUUUUUAGUUGC